rnacentral:lncRNA from 1 species
AGUCGAUAGUAUUUCUCUUUGGUUUCAUUGCAAUGUUUUUUCCCCAAAUAUUCUCAGUAUUUUGUUUCUUUAAACCAUGUUUGCAUCUUCAGCUAUUAACAAUACGUAAUAUAUUCUCAGUAUUUAGUUUCAUUUGUAAACUAUUUCUUUGGAGCUUAACUAUAAUGUUGUUUUUUUUAUAAAAAAUAAACAUAUGGUUUGCUUGACCUGGUUUUAAACUUCAAACAUAACUCAAAUAGCGUUUACAAUCUGCUUUAUAAACAAUUCAAGACGUGGAGACACUACUAUAUUUCUCUUUAGUUUCGUUGCAGUGUUCCAUGUUUGCAUCAUUUCAGCUAUUUAUAAAGGAGAACUGUUUAGUUUACUGUCUUAUUUGAUAGCUACUUUCCGUUUCUUGAUAUGGAUGCAGUUAAACGAGAUGUGAGCCAAUCAUAUGGAAAC